AACUCUGAGAUUGAGGUGAUAAAGUUGGUUCAGGGUUAAUGUUUAAACACUUUCUGACGUCUUUUGACGUUUGAGACGCUCGUCCAGAAGUCAAAGUGUCUUGAUCUGUGAUUAUACAGAAGACUGCUGUGGAUCUCAUGCUUCUCAGAGAAUAAAGGUUAAUGGACUGGAGAUGAUGUGUGACGGACCGAAUCUGAAGAUUCAGAAACAACUGAACAACAAAAACCAGGAGAACAGAGAGAAAAACUCACAAUCUGAAGAAUUAAAGAAGAAAAGAUCCAUGAUGUUUCAUCAACAGGACAGUGUGGAUCCAAAAAGACCAAACUUUUGUCAUGAUGAAGCUGUAGAGAGUCAUUCACUGACAGAUGAAAUAUAAUCCACUGACAGAAACUACUGACGUGUGCAGCUGGAACUGAUGGAAAAAUCAACUUUAAUGAAGCAAUAAUCAUAAUAAUAAUAAAGGACACAAACGGGACAGAGAUGUUGGAUGAGACUACAUCAUCCCAGAGACUCUUACAGGACGAGCGGAGCGAAGGAGGGAUGAAUGGACCUUCAAAAGAGUGUUUUUCACAGACAUUUGACCUGCAAGAACAUUUCAUUUGUGUGAUUUAUGUGAAUGUGAGCGAUCUAUACUGAAAAAUACAGUCACUGCUGAACCUUUAUGUGUCUGAUCUAAGAAAGAAAAGAAAAUCACACUGAAAAACAAGAUCAAACUGAAAGUGAAGUGGAUU